rnacentral:rRNA from 1 species
AUGAAAAAGGCUCAAGAAAAGCUUGGCGCCUUGUUGGGCCGAAACCCUGGAUUGUCAAAAGAUUUCAACAGUUGCAUUGACUUCAGCUUGACGCCAGAGGAGUUUGAGGCGGCAUGGGUUUAUCUGAUGUUGAAGUAUGAGGUUAUGACUCAUACACACUUUGAGACUCUGUAUAAAUAUAGGGAAACAUGGGUUCCUUGCUACUUCAAACACCAAUUGUUUCCCUUCUUGCAGUCGACCCAACGCAGUGAGGGAUUCAAUGCUGUCCUCAAGCGAUAUGUGAACCCACACAAUUCCAUCCUCAAUUUC